rnacentral:rRNA from 1 species
GAUGAACGCUGGCUACAGGCUUAACACAUGCAAGUCGAGGGGAAACGACGGGGAAGCUUGCUUCCCCGGGCGUCGACCGGCGCACGGGUGAGUAACGCGUAUCCAACCUGCCUCUGACUGAGGGAUAACCCGUCGAAAGUCGGCCUAAUACCUCAUGGUAUCGUCUGCGGGCAUCCAACGACGAUUAAAGAUUUCAUCGGUCAGGGAUGGGGAUGCGUCUGAUUAGCUUGUUGGCGGGGUAACGGCCCACCAAGGCUACGAUCAGUAGGGGUUCUGAGAGGAAGGUCCCCCACAUUGGAACUGAGGCACGGUCCAAACUCCUACGGGAGGCAGCAGUGAGGAAUAUUGAUCAAUGGGCGAGAGCCUGAACCAGCCAAGUAGCGUGCAGGAAGACGGCCCUAUGGGUUGUAAACUGCUUUUAUGCGGGGAUAAAGUGAGGGACGUGUCCCUCAUUGCAGGUACCGCAUGAAUAAGGACCGGCUAAUUCCGUG